CCUUUUCCCCACUUAGAAUCGUGCCGAGGGAUCUGGAGAUGUCCUAGAGAGGUUUGGGGGCAUCCAGGGGGUUCUGGACUCAUGCAGAAGAGUCUGGAGAUGUCCAAGGAGGAUCCAGGGAGUCCCCAGGCCUGCCUGCAGCCGGACCCGGUGACACCGGAGCCCUCCCUCUGGCGCUGUCACCAUCCUCUGUCCCGAGGACGGGAGGUGAACUCUGUGCCACCAGCAGAGGGGAC
rnacentral:lncRNA from 1 species